GUGCCGUAACAGGUACUGGAGGUCCGAACCGACUAGUGUUGCAAAACUAGCGGAUGAGCUGUGGAUAGGGGUGAAAGGCUAAACAAACUUGGAAAUAGCUGGUUCUCUCCGAAAACUAUUUAGGUAGAGCGUUAUAUGAUUACCACUGGAGGUAGAGCACUGGAUAAGCUAGGGGGUCCAACAGACUUACCAAACUUAACCAAACUCCGAAUGCCAGUGAGUACAGUAUAGCAGACAGACCAUGGGUGCUAAGGUCCGUGGUCGAGAGGGAAAGAGCCCAGACCGCCAUCUAAGGUCCCAAAAUCAUGACUAAGUGUUAAAGGAUGUGGGAAAACCAAAACAACUAGGAUGUUGGCUUAGAAGCAGCCAUCAUUUAAAGAAAGCGUAAUAGCUCACUAGUCUAAUUAAGUUUUCCUGCGCCGACAAUGUAACGGGGCUAAAGUCAUGUACCGAAGAUGCGGAUUCAUAUGUAAACAUAUGAGUGGUAGCGGAGCGUUCCGUAAGCCUGUGAAGGCAUCCUGUAAGGGGUGCUGGAGGUAUCGGAAGUGAGAAUGCUGACAUAAGUAGCGAUAAAGAAUGUGAGAGACAUUCUCGCCGAAAGUCCAAGGUUUCCUGCGUAAAGCUAAUCUGCGCAGGGUUAGUCGGCCCCUAAGGCGAGGCUGAAAGGCGUAGUCGAUGGGAAUCAGGUUAAUAUUCCUGAACCAAGAAGAAGUGACGAAGUUCAAAAAUUGUAUAUGCUUAUUGGAUUGUGUAUGCUAGUUGCGAGCUUCCAGGAAAUAACUCUUCAAUUAAGACCGUACCCUAAACCGACACAGGUGGUCAGGUAGAGUAUACCAAGGCGCUUGAGAGAACGAUGCUGAAGGAACUAGGCAAAUUGCAUCUGUAACUUCGGGAGAAAGAUGACCUAUAAUUGGGCAACCAGUUGUAGGUGGCACAAACCAGGGGGUAGCGACUGUUUAUUAAAAACACAGGGCUCUGCUAAGUCAAUAGACGAUGUAUAGGGUCUGACGCCUGCCCAGUGCUGGAAGGUUAAGAGGAGGGGUGCAAGCUCUGAAUUGAAGCCCCAGUGAACGGCGGCCGUAACUAUGACGGUCCUAAGGUAGCGAAAUUCCUUGUCGGGUAAGUUCCGACCCGCACGAAUGGCGUAACGAUUUCCCCGCUGUCUCCAGUGUCGACUCAGCGAAAUUGAACUCUCCGUGAAGAUGCGGAGUUCCCACGGUUAGACGGAAAGACCCCGUGAACCUUUACUAUAGCUUUGCAUUGGCAUUAUAAAGCAGAUGUGUAGGAUAGGUGGUAGGCUAUGAAGUAUGGGCGCCAGCCCGUAUGGAGCCACUCUUGAAAUACCACCCUUCUUCUUUGUGAUGUCUAACUGCGAUCCGUGAAUCCGGAUUCAAGACAGUGCAUGGAGGGUUUAUCGUGACUGGGAAAC
rnacentral:rRNA from 1 species